rnacentral:misc_RNA from 1 species
GAUGAAGAACGUAGCGAAAUGCGAUACUUGGUGUGAAUUGCAGAAUCCCGUGAACCAUCGAGUCUUUGAACGCAAGUUGCGCCCGAAGCCAUCAGGUUGAGGGCACGUCUGCCUGGGCGUCACAUAUCGUUGCCCAAUGCCUAUUGCAGUGCAAUAGGAAUUUCUAGGGCGAAUGAUGGCUUCCCGUGAGCGUUGUUGCCUCGCGGUUGGUUGAAAAUCGUGUCCUUGGUAGGGUGUGCCAUGGUAGAUGGUGGUCGAGUUAGAACGAUACCGAUCAUGUGCAUGCUCCCCAAAAUAUGGCCUCGAUGACCCACACGCGUCUUUUGACGCUCAUGACGAGACCUCAGGUCAGGCGGGGCUACCCGCUGAAUUUAAGCAUAUCAAUAAGCGGAGGA